ACGGGAGGCAGCAGUGAGGAAUAUUGGUCAAUGGACGAGAGUCUGAACCAGCCAAGUAGCGUGCAGGAUGACGGCCCUAUGGGUUGUAAACUGCUUUUGUACGGGAAUAAAGUGACCUACGUGUAGGUUUUUGCAUGUACCGUAAGAAUAAGGACCGGCUAAUUCCGUGCCAGCAGCCGCGGUAAUACGGAAGGUCCGGGCGUUAUCCGGAUUUAUUGGGUUUAAAGGGUGCGCAGGCGGCACGUUAAGUCAGCGGUGAAAUGCAGGGGCUCAACCCCGGCACUGCCGUUGAAACUGGCGAGCUCGAGUACGGAUGAAGUCGGCGGAAUGUGAUGUGUAGCGGUGAAAUGCUUAGAUAUGUCACAGAACACCGAUUGCGAAGGCAGCUGACUAAUCCGCAACUGACGCUCAGGCACGAAAGCGUGGGGAUCGAACAGGAUUAGAUACCCUGGUA
rnacentral:rRNA from 1 species